rnacentral:rRNA from 1 species
UAGCAAUACGUCACCGGCGGACGGGUGCGUAACACGUGGGAAUGUACUUAUUGGUUCGGAACAACUCAGGGAAACUUGAGCUAAUACCGAAUGUGCCCGUAAGGGGAAAGAUUUAUCGCCAAUAAAUCAGCCCGCGUCCGAUUAGCUAGUUGGUGGGGUAAAGGCUCACCAAGGCGACGAUCGGUAGCUGUUCUGAGAGGAAGAUCAGCCACACUGGGACUGAGACACGGCCCAGACUCCUACGGGAGGCAGCAGUUGGGAAUCUUGGACAAUGGGGGAAACCCUGAUCCAGCCAUGCCGCGUGAGUGAUGAAGGCCUUAGGGUUGUAAAACUCUUUCGGCGGGGACGAUAAUGACGGUACCCGCAGAAGAAGCUCCGGCUAACUUCGUGCCAGCAGCCGCGGUAAUACGAAGGGGGCUAGCGUUGUUCGGAAUUACUGGGCGUAAAGCGUGCGCAGGCGGCCAUCCAAGUCAGUGGUGAAAGCCCGGAGCUCAACUCCGGAAUUGCCAUUGAAACUGUUUGGCUCGAGUACGAGAGAGGUGAGUGGAAUUCCCAGUGUAGAGGUGAAAUUCGUAGAUAUUGGGAAGAACACCGGUGGCGAAGGCGGCUCACUGGCUCGUAACUGACGCUCAUGCACGACAGCGUGGGGAUCAAGCAGGAUUAGAUACCCUGGUAGUCCACGCCGUAAACGAUGAACGCUAGCCGUUGGCCAGCUUGCUGGUCAGUGGCGCAGCUAACGCAUUAAGCGUUCCGCCUGGGGAGUACGGCCGCAAGGUUGAAACUC